rnacentral:rRNA from 1 species
UACGUAGGGGGCAAGCGUUGUCCGGAUUUAUUGGGCGUAAAGAGCGUGUAGGCGGUUUGGUAGGUCCGCUGUGAAAACUCGAGGCUCAACCUGGGAACUGCAUUUGUGACUGCAUCGCUGGAGUACGGCAGAGGGGGAUGGAAUUCCGCGUGUAGCAGUGAAAUGCGUAGAUAUGCGGAGGAACACCGAUGGCGAAGGCAAUCCCCUGGGCCUGUACUGACGCUCAUGCACGAAAGCGUGGGGAGCAAACAGG